CCUCCGGGCGCCCAACCUCCCACCCGUAAAUACCUAACACUGUUGCUUCGGCGGGGAACCCCCUCGGGGGCGAGCCGCCGGGGACUACUGAACUUCAUGCCUGAGAGUGAUGCAGUCUGAGUCUGAAUAUAAAAUCAGUCAAAACUUUCAACAAUGGAUCUCUUGGUUCCGGCA
rnacentral:misc_RNA from 1 species